AAGUCGUAACAAGGUCUCCGUAGGUGAACCUGCGGAGGGAUCAUUACCAAAGAUGGCGGGCCUCCGGGCCCCCGCUCCCCUAACCCUUUAGUUCGACCUAAAACCUUUUUGCCUGCGGGGGCAGAGCGGUCCGCCGCCCGCCCCGGAGGACCACCGAACGCUGUCUCUUUACGUCGGAGUAUUGAUUGAAUAAAUGAAAA
rnacentral:misc_RNA from 1 species